ACAUUGCUGAAGAAUCCCAUAAUAGGACGAAACGGCCGUCUAAUGC
rfam:Schistosoma rodhaini strain Burundi genome assembly, scaffold: SROB_scaffold0004687